UACGUAGGGGGCAAGCGUUGUCCGGAUUUAUUGGGCGUAAAGAGCGUGUAGGCGGCCAGGUAGGUCAGCUGUGAAAACUCGAGGCUCAACCUCGAGACGCCGGUUGAAACCGUCUGGCUAGAGUCCGGAAGAGGAGAGUGGAAUUCCUGGUGUAGCGGUGAAAUGCGCAGAUAUCAGGAAGAACACCCGUGGCUAAGGCGGCUCUCUAGUACGGUACUGACGCUGAGACGCGAAAGCGUGGGGAGCGAACAGG
rnacentral:rRNA from 1 species